rnacentral:rRNA from 1 species
UACGUAGGGGGCAAGCGUUAUCCGGAUUUACUGGGUGUAAAGGGAGCGUAGACGGCAGCGCAAGUCUGGAGUGAAAUGCCGGGGCCCAACCCGGGAACUGCUUUGGAAACUGUGCAGCUCGAGUGCAGGAGAGGUAAGCGGAAUUCCUAGUGUAGCGGUGAAAUGCGUAGAUAUUAGGAGGAACACCAGUGGCGAAGGCGGCUUACUGGACUGUAACUGACGUUGAGGCUCGAAAGCGUGGGGAGCAAACAGG